AUCAACUUUCGAUUGGUAGGAUAGAGGCCUACCAUGGUGGUAACGGGUAACGGGGUGUUAGGGCACGACACCGGAGAGGGAGCCUGAGAAACGGCUACCACAUCCAAGGAUGGCAGCAGGCGCGCAAAUUACCCAAUCCCGACACGGGGAGGUAGUGACAAUAAAUAACAAUACGGGGUUCUUUCGGAUCUCGUAAUUGGAAUGAGUACAAUUUAAAUCUCUUAACGAGGAACAAUUGGAGGGCAAGUCUGGUGCCAGCAGCCGCGGUAAUUCCAGCUCCAAUAGCGUAUAUUAAAGUUGUUGCAGUUAAAAAGCUCGUAGUUGAAUUUCGGGGUUAGUAGGUUGGUCAUGCCUCUGGUAUGUACUGGUCUCACUGAUUCCUCCUUCCUUAUGAACCGUAAUGCCAUUAAUUUGGUGUUGCGGGGAAUUUGGACUGUUACUUUGAAAAAAUUAGAGUGUUUAAAGCAGGCUAACGCUUGAAUACAUUAGCAUGGAAUAAUGAAAUAGGACGUUCGAUCUUAUUUUGUUGGUUUCUAGGAUUGACGUAAUGAUUAAUAGGGAUAGUUGGGGGCAUUAGUAUUCAAUUGUCAGAGGUGAAAUUUUUGGAUUUAUUGAAGACUAACUACUGCGAAAGCAUUUGCCAAGGAUGUUUUCAUUAAUCAAGAACGAAAGUUAGGGGAUCGAAGACGAUCAGAUACCGUCGUAGUCUUAACCAUAAACUAUGCCGACUAGGGAUCGGAUGAUGUUAAUUUUUUAAUGACUCAUUCGGCGCCUUACGGGAAACCAAAGUGUUUGGGUUC
rnacentral:rRNA from 1 species